rnacentral:rRNA from 1 species
ACUCCUACGGGAGGCAGCAGUGGGGAAUUUUGGACAAUGGGCGAAAGCCUGAUCCAGCAAUGCCGCGUGUGUGAAGAAGGCCUUCGGGUUGUAAAGCACUUUUGUCCGGAAAGAAAUCCUUGGCUCUAAUACAGUCGGGGGAUGACGGUACCGGAAGAAUAAGCACCGGCUAACUACGUGCCAGCAGCCGCGGUAAUACGUAGGGUGCGAGCGUUAAUCGGAAUUACUGGGCGUAAAGCGUGCGCAGGCGGUUUGCUAAGACCGAUGUGAAAUCCCCGGGCUCAACCUGGGAACUGCAGUGGUGACUGGCAGGCUAGAGUAUGGCAGAGGGGGGUAGAAUUCCACGUGUAGCAGUGAAAUGCGUAGAGAUGUGGAGGAAUACCGAUGGCGAAGGCAGCCCCCUGGGCCAAUACUGACGCUCAUGCACGAAAGCGUGGGGAGCAAACAGGAUUAGAAACCCGUGUAGUCCCAUA